rnacentral:misc_RNA from 1 species
GAUGAAGAACGCAGCGAAAUGCGAUAAGUAAUGUGAAUUGCAGAAUUCAGUGAAUCAUCGAAUCUUUGAACGCACAUUGCGCCCGCCAGCAUUCUGGCGGGCAUGCCUGUUCGAGCGUCAUUUCAACCCUCGACCUCCCCUUGGGGAGGUCGGCGUUGGGGACCGGCAGCACACCGCCGGCCCUGAAAUGGAGUGGCGGCCCGUCCGCGGCGACCUCUGCGCAGUAAUACAGCUCGCACCGGGACCCCGACGCGGCCACGCCGUAAAACACCCAACUUCUGAACGUUGACCUCGAAUCAGGUAGGACUACCCGCUGAACUUAAGCAUAUCAAUAAGCGGAGGA